UACGGAGGGUGCAAGCGUUAUCCGGAUUCACUGGGUUUAAAGGGUGCGUAGGCUGUGCGGAAAGUUGGGUGUGAAAUACCUCAGCUUAACUGAGGAAUGGCGCUCAAAACUACCGUGCUCGAGGGAGAUAGAGGUGAGCGGAACUUAGGGUGGAGCGGUGAAAUGUGUUGAUAUCCUAAGGAACACCGGUGGCGAAAGCGGCUCACUGGAUCUCUUCUGACGCUGAUGCACGAAAGCUAGGGUAGCGAACGGG
rnacentral:rRNA from 1 species